rnacentral:rRNA from 1 species
GUGUCAGCCGCCGCGGUAAUACGUAGGGUGCGAGCGUUAAUCGGAAUUACUGGGCGUAAAGCGUGCGCAGGCGGUUGUGUAAGGCAGGUGUGAAAUCCCCGGGCUUAACCUGGGAACUGCACUUGUGACUGCACGGCUUGAGUGCGGCAGAGGGGGAUGGAAUUCCGCGUGUAGCAGUGAAUGCGUAGAUAUGCGGAGGAACACCGAUGGCGAGGGCAAUCCCCUGGGCCUGCACUGACGCUCAUGCACGAAAGCGUGGGGAGCAAACAGGAUUAGAUACCCGUGUAGUCC